GAUGAUUUUAAAGAUGUGGGAUAUUGACAAACACAGAGAUGAAGAUGAAAAUAAAUUUAUAUUGCUAGCUUGAUGAGCUCAAGAGUCUAGGUGAAGAUUUACAACAAAACAAAAGCUCAUUAUGUCUCAUGGGUGACGGGAUGAGAAGGAGGAAG